rnacentral:piRNA from 1 species
UGAGGUGUGUACACAAUGAUACAGGAUUC